rnacentral:rRNA from 1 species
CACGUAGGGUGCGAGCGUUGUCCGGAAUUAUUGGGCGUAAAGAGCUCGUAGGCGGUCUGUCGCGUCGGCUGUGAAAACCCGAGGCUCAACCUCGGGCCUGCAGUCGAUACGGGCAAACUGGAGUGUUGCAGGGGAGACUGGAAUUCCUGGUGUAGCGGUGAAAUGCGCAGAUAUCAGGAGGAACACCGCCGGCGAAGGCAGCACUCUGGGCCGGUACUGACGCUGAGGAGCGAAAGCAUGGGGAGCGAACAGG